UGAUUUGUAGAGUCACGGCGUGUACAAAAAACAACGUAAAAUGAGACACAGCCGUCUUCGAAACGUAAACAAACCGGGAACUAUAUUGUCAGGAAGUGGAAGCAUUCUCAGAAAGUGGAAGCGCUGCUACUUGGGCGGAGUGAUUAGCGCAUCACCGUCAACAAAACCAAUGUGAAUAGCAGCGAACGUGACUGGUGAUCAUGGCUGACUUUGAGGAAUUAUCUGAGGAUUUUUACUUGGUAUCAAACCAAGAUCCAGAACCAUAUCUUUUUGAGCCAGAAUACACGGACGAGGAGUUACAAAUUGUGGAAGCUGAUAGACAAAAUGCCGAACAGACUGAGGUCGAGGGGAGAAUCAGAACGAACACGGACUGGUGGUGUAAAUGUUGAACAUGCCAACCUAUGCCGACAGAAACUGAGUGCCUUUGUUGUAGUGAGUGGGACCAGGUAUUGCCAUCAAUGGCGAGGCUUGAUAACAAUGAAAACAUUUGCGUCACUACCACAGAGGAUUUCUCUGCCCUAAUACACCCGGCAGUUGUCGAUUUUGUUUUGCCGUUGUGACAAGACUGAAGAUCAACUGGAAGAAACGCCCGAUACUGAGUGGACCUAAUGAACAGCUGUCCACCAAUCAAUAUAGGUUGGUGUCCUACCGCACAGUUUUGGAGUGGGCCCUGAAAGGAGAAACUUUGGGUAGAAGCAACCGUAAACCACUGCCAUCAUGUGUGGUUGGUGGCAUUCGAAGCAAAUAUCCCUCACAGACUGGUGUCUAUGUGGGAUUUCAAGAAGUGGAGGCGGCAAUGGAAAUGUUGUAACUGUUCCAUCCUUUGACCUCUUACAAGACAGCACAGCUUUAUUUCAUCAUGAAAAUAUGUGAAACCAUCAUCUGCUUUAUACUUAUUGUAGUAUUUUCUAGUUCAAAUACAUUCUUGAAAAAUCUA